UCCCAGGGUCUGCUUCUGUUUACAGCUUAGGCUUUUCUGCGUUUUCUGUGGGGUUUCGCUAUCUCGGGCCUUUGUUUUCGCUGUUCCCUUAUUAGCUCCUAUCGUACGUCGUGUAUGGUAUUUGGUGGUUUAAAUAUAUAAGUUGUUUAAAAAAAAUAAAAGAGAAAUCCCAGAUUCUUGUCUUUGAAGAGUCAUCAUUCAUUUCCAACGUGAUGGUCUAUCAGGCCUCAUAGGAGUUCUUAUCUGCUGAAGUGGUCAAAGGUCAAGUUCAUCAUCGUGGGAAAGGUGGUUAGUUAAUUAUUCUGGCUUAUCUAUUUAUCUAAUUGAAAUAUUAGUAACAUGGUUAUUGGACUCUUAGUUACGUUGCAAGGCCACUCCAUGAAAUCAAAGAAGCUACAAAACUACAAAGAGCUCGUGCUUGGAAGGCUGCAGAGGCACUCCAAAUCAAUUUGCAGUUUACGAAUCCAUCAUUUAUCAAGUCAAUGGUUUGGUCUCAUGUUUAUAGCUGUUUUUGGUUGGGUCUUCCUAGUAGGUUUUGUGAGGAACAUCUUCCAAAAACAUGAUUUGAAAGGAUGAAAAUAGCUCAGAGUAUAAUGCUGUCUAUAUUGGCAGUAGAAGUGGGCUAAGUGGUAGCUGGAGAGGAUUUGCAUUGGAACAUAAAUUGGAUGAUGGUGAUGCACUUGUUUUUGAAUUGGUUGAAGCAACAAGAUUUAAGAUUUAUAUUAUUGUUAGAGCAUUUGCAAAAAUAGAUGAAGAGGAAGAAGAAGAAAAUACGCACACAUCUAAAGCAGCAAAAGAAACUAAGGCUGCAAGUGAUUGUGAAUCCAUCAAAGAAGACUAAAAAGCAAAAACAAGCCAUUGUAUGUGAAACUAAGGAAUCAGAGAGUUAUGAAGAAAGUCUACCAGAAGGUAACAUUGACAAAGCAUUCAAACAACAGAGGGAAAAUCCGAGUAGAAAAACUAAAUCUUCUCAUAAAAAAAAAUACAAAAGAAAUCGAAACUACCUACUACUCCCGACUCUGGGUCAAAAGCGGAAGCAAAAAUGCAAGUGCUGAAACCAAAGACAGCUAUAAAGAAAACUAAAUCUUCUGAAAAGAUAUAUGAAGUAGCUUCUACUACUCCUGAUCCAAAAGGGGAAGCACAAAUUGAAAUUGUUGAACUAAAGGAAGCUGCAAGGAAUACUAGAUCUUCUCAGAGAAAAAUGCAAAAAGAUAACUGAAGUAUCUAUUACUCUUGAGCCAAAAGGGAAAGCACAAGUUGCAGCUAUAAAGUUGUCAAACAAGGUAAGGAAGUCAAAAGAAGGUAAAAAUGAAUGUGAAAUUGAUGAAUCAACUAAAACUAAGCAGCUUCUUUUGGAAGAUAAUGCUGUUAAUACAACAGAUCCUAACACGAACAAGAAGAAUGAGCAUGUCUGUGAUGAGGAUAUUGAGUUAAUGAAAGUUAAGCCAGAUGGAGAAACAAGCAUAAAUAGUUUGAAAUUGCAAUUAGCCCAACAGUUAGAACUGCAAGAUUUGAGUACUGUUCGAUAUUUCAUGGCAUACUCUCAUAGAGGUGACCAUUUUGUCAACAUCCUUCUCCAGACUAAUCUCUUUGCUACUAAAGUAGUAGAUAAUUCUCUUGAACUUAAUGCUCGAUAUACAUCCUCUGAAAAUGUCCCUCUUUCAGACCAUAUAUUAUGUAUUGAACUCAGUGUAUUCUAUCAUCACUAUUACUAUAACUAAAGUUGCUUAUCAUUUCUUCAUUGGAGUUGCGUGUUUAUCGAAUGUUAAUUGAGUCGGUAAUUCCAUUAAUUGAUUGUAAGUUUACCCACAUGAUUUUGCAUUUUUUCUUUUCUUUC